CAGAGACAUCAGGGCAAGGAGGCCGAGGGCAAGCCGGGCCGAGUGAGAAAUGCUUGAAACAGGCAAAAAUGAAAGCGCAGUCAGGGUCUCAGCCAACAGCUGAUCUACGGAGAAGACAUCCCACAGGCCAGGAGCAACUGGGUAAUCAUCGUAAGUGAGGUCAGCCGCUGGCCCGAGUUGCCAUGGCAACAGAACCUGAUCGCUUCCAGCAGCAGCAAGGGCUGGAGGAGGCUCCUAAGGAACAAGCCCCCCAGGCCUCUCUUCUCCUCCCCCAGAGAAGGGCUGAACUACACCGGCCAGUGUCUGCGUUCCCCCUCUGCGCCCCAAGUGGCAGACCAAGAGUCCUUGGGCGACACCCCAGCCUAGGUUCACAGGGGGUCCAUCUUAGGGGAGAGAGAC